rnacentral:rRNA from 1 species
GAUGAACGCUGGCGGCGUGCCUAAUACAUGCAGGUCGAGCGAACAGACGAGGAGCUUGCUCCUCUGACGUUAGCGGCGGACGGGUGAGUAACACGUGGAUAACCUACCUAUAAGACUGGGAUAACUUCGGGAAACCGGAGCUAAUACCGGAUAAUAUAUUGAACCGCAUGGUUCAAUAGUGAAAGACGGUUUUGCUGUCACUUAUAGAUGGAUCCGCGCCGCAUUAGCUAGUUGGUAAGGUAACGGCUUACCAAGGCGACGAUGCGUAGCCGACCUGAGAGGGUGAUCGGCCACACUGGAACUGAGACACGGUCCAGACUCCUACGGGAGGCAGCAGUAGGGAAUCUUCCGCAAUGGGCGAAAGCCUGACGGAGCAACGCCGCGUGAGUGAUGAAGGUCUUCGGAUCGUAAAACUCUGUUAUUAGGGAAGGACAAAUGUGUAAGUAACUAUGCACGUCUUGACGGUACCUAAUCAGAAAGCCACGGCUAACUACGUG